ensembl:ncRNA lncRNA:CR44833 long non-coding RNA:CR44833
GAAGAUCAUUUUUGUUGACGUUCAUUUGCUGAGCGAACGGAUUUGUUAAACGUUAAAUUAAGUGGCCUUUUUUUAAUCAAUUGCGAUUCGCCAAUUGCAAGUGCAAGUGCAAAGACAAAACGGGCAAAGACAAGGUUAGCCGCUGAAAAAGCCGUCUUGGCUUUAAAACAAAACAAGUGCAGCGAAAAAGGCAAGCAAGAAAACCAACAACACUGUUACUAAUCUAAUUGAAACCCUUGCAGAUAAAAACCAUCAAGUGCAAUAUGCUGAUAAGGCUGGAGAACGAAGAUCCAGACGGAUUUUAUGGCCAAAAUAAAUGACGAACAGCGAAAACGGCAAAUGGCAUCGAAAGGAACUGGCUAAUAAAAAGCCAUUAAAGCCAAGUUCAGGCAGGUCAUGUGCUGCAUCCCCGUUGGCUAGUUGAAAUUUAAAUUUAAUUGAUCUAU